GAGACUUAUGCGUAUCCAGCUGAUGUAUACAAUGGUGUAUCAGUAGAUAUGACUGCAGCUAGACGUCAUGGUUUCAGUGUUGUGGCAUGUAAGGGUGUGAGUGACACUCAGUUGCUACGUCAUCCUGUACGUACACCUAACGGAUAUGAUACUCUUCGGGCAUCGGCGCUGAAAUCUCAAGGAUGUUAUAUUAUUCCGAUGGUACUCAAAUAUGGAGCUCGGCACUCACAGAAAAGCAGCCACACUAUCCCGGAUUUGCUGAUCAAUUAUCCGUAUCACAUCACCGUGUUCAAAGACCUGUUACCCGCCAAGCAGUGAUGAACAUACACAUUGAUGUCGUAGUUUACAUGAUGAUAUCUCUGAACAGCAGAAUACAAAGCCGAAUUGUGCAGGGAGUGUGUUAUAUUAUUUGAGACUGGAAUAUUUUUCUCUAGUGAUUGAAGUUUUAAUUUCUCCGAUUCCUUGCUGUUUUUUCUGCUGAGCUGAACACUGAGGAAGUUGGUGCUGCGUCUUGUUUAAUUCCACUCCAUUGGCUGAGUAGCUGAGUAACCGAGUAACGGAGUAACUGAGUACAGCCGAUGUGAGAGGGUAGUGCUGCUAGUGCUAGUGUAGUAUGCGUGUUGAUUGUGUUUUUGAAAUCAAGGCAUUGUUGAGUUUGUGCGUGAAUGUUUGCGUGUCUGUGCAUUCAAUUCCCAUAUUUUUCUUUGUGCGUGCUUAUACAAUCAUGUACCUUGAUAUUAUUAUUGUGAAUCCUCCACAUGUG